rnacentral:rRNA from 1 species
CUGGCUCAGAUUGAACGCUGGCGGCAGGCCUAACACAUGCAAGUCGAACGGUAACAGGAAGCAGCUUGCUGCUUGCUGACGAGUGGCGGACGGGUGAGUAAUGUCUGGGAAACUGCCCGAUGGAGGGGGAUAACUACUGGAAACGGUAGCUAAUACCGCAUAAUGUCGCAAGACCAAAGAGGGGGACCUUCGGGCCUCUUGCCAUCGGAUGUGCCCAGAUGGGAUUAGCUUGUUGGUGAGGUAACGGCCCACCAAGGCGACGAUCCCUAGCUGGUCUGAGAGGAUGACCAGCCACACUGGAACUGAGACACGGUCCAGACUCCUACGGGAGGCAGCAGUGGGGAAUAUUGCACAAUGGGCGCAAGCCUGAUGCAGCCAAUGCCGCGUGUAUGAAGAAGGCCUUCGGGUUGUAAAGUACUUUCAGCGGGGAGGAAGGGGUUAAGGUUAAUAACCUUAGCCAUUGACGUUACCCGCAGAAGAAGCACCGGCUAACUCCGUGCCAGCCGCCGC